CAGGAUCCUGAGACCAUGACCUAAGCCAAAGGCAGAUGCUUAACCGACUGAGCCACCCAGAGAUGCUUCGUGCCAGGCGGACAUGGGAGACCCCAGUACCUCUGCCGUGCUCAGCCUGUGCCUGGAGCCACCGAGAGAAGUGUGCUGUUCACUGAGAGACGCCGCGGUGGACGUGAAGCUGAAUGGCGAGGGCAGGGUGGAACGGGUACCUGAGCAGCACCCCUCUGUGGCCACCACACUUAGAGACAACGGAAUUAUCCUGUUCCUCAUCAAAUUUGCAUUCAUUGUCGUUGAUUUUCUGACCCUGUCAUUCUUCCCAUAUUUAUUGGCGUUCUCCUUAAAGAAGAGCUUUCCCUCUUGGGGGUGCAAUUUUAAAUCGUGUCAGAGCAUGUGCUGAGGUGGUGCUGAGUAAAGGAGGAAGUGACUGCUUGAGGCCAGCAGGUGUCUGUGGGAAUAGUACAGCAGGUAGAGGAGUCGGCAAGUGCAAAGGGCUAGAGGCAGGUUACACCUGGUGUGGUCAGGAACAGCAGAAAGGCCAGUGUGGUGGGAGUGAGGCACAUGAGAGCCCCAUGGGCCCCUGAACCUCAGUAAGGAAGUCAGAGGCCAGAGAUAGAAAUUGAUGCGAAUGUAUAGGGGCUUGGUCAUGUAAGGACUUUGAUGUUCUGGUUACCAUGCUGCAUUCAGGCUUCCUCACAGCGUGGUGGCUUGGGGGCAGUCAUUCCCUACGUGGUGGCUGAUGGGCGAGGUGAUGCGGAUGCCUUAUCGCACCUCCUUGGCUCACCCUGGAGAGCCAGCAGCCCACAUAGUCACAAAAGUUCGCUCAGUGUCAGGGGGCAAAGACAGGGACUCUAGCUCUAGGUGGGAGUGUUUACAUUAAGAAUAAAACUGCCAGUUGUUUUACCAGCAAAAAAAUAGGUUUAUUUGAAAAAAGAGAAUUGCAAUCGAGGACAAGCAAGCUAUUCCGCCCUUCUCAUCCCCUGUGUGUCUGCUCUCCCCACGGAAUAAAAGGUCUGUCACCCACCCCCCAAC